GAAAGUUUUAGAGCCAUACGACGAAUCUGUGUUUCCAACUUUCUAAUUGAAGCUUGCUGGCUUUGAUAAUUUGUUCAAUAAUGCUAUUAGUACAAAGACGGAUGACAAAAUAGGUUGACAAAGACAUGUGUACGGUCGAGAUCAAGUCUUUUGGAUGGCUGAGAUUUUACAACACCCAAGUGAGGGAAACUGAGUUGCAUUAAUUCCAACAAAAAGCUGCAAAUGACAGUGAGCACACCUUUUGUCCACACCACAACAUUUCAGCCGGGAUUUCACAAGAACCAAGUGGGACUUCAGGUGCCAAACUCCACCAACAAUCGGUAAUAACAGUUAAAUCCCCUUUUUGCUCCAUGAAAUUGAAGCAAAAAAUUUAACAUUUCGGGCAACAUAGUGUAGCAAAAAUCCAACAUUUUCCCCCACAUAACGUAGCAAAAAUCCGACGGGCAAGUAGCGAGAGAUGUAGCAUUGACGCGGUAUCGGAGCUUGCAUCUCCGGUCCAUCUUCUCUACUCCAACCUCCGGCAACACAAGGUGUGGAUACUUUUGUUUUGAAGGUUGGAAUUUCUUGGUUAUGUUGAGCUGAAAUCAUUUAUGUAAAGGCUGAAAUUUUUUGCAAACUUGGAGACAGAUAAAAAAGAAAAGAAAAGAAAAACCAACACAGUAAUUUUUUCUAACUAUUUCCAGCUUUGUUUAUGAGUUAUAGAUAUCCCUAUUAAUGAAAGUAGAAAUUCGAAGCUUUUAAUUUCUAGCAUUAUGGCAUUGAAGAUACAUAUGUUGUUUUACUUUAAUAAUAAUAAUAAUAAUAAUAAUAAUAAUAAUAAUAAUAAUAAUAAUAAUAAUAAUACUUGAGUGAGAAAAAAAUACUGUAAAUAAUUUGAAUGUGAGUCUAAUAGAAAACUCAAAAUCUACAGAGAUCUCUAGCAUUCUACAUUUUUUGGUUCGUAAACAUUUUAUAUAUUAAUAUAUAGUUUGUUGGGUUAUGCAGAAAAAAAGAGUAUGGAAGAUGCUUCGUUCGUUGAAUUUGAAAAUGAAAAUGUGGACGACAAUGUAAACACCGUGGAAGAGGAAACUGUAGGAAGAGAUGAUUUUACUGAGCCUGAGGUCGGUAUUCAGUUCAAAGAUGAAAAAGAAGUGUACGAUUUUUAUGCAAGAUAUGCUUAUGCCUUGGGUUUUCCAAUUAGAAAGAGGAGUUUGACGAAGGAUGUUUUGAUUUUCACAUUAGAUCACGCGAUCCCGUAUAGCUAUUCAUAUUUACCACAUCAUGGUGGGACCAUUUGAAUUCAAGUGAACAGACAAUGUACUGAUGCAAUUAUUUCUCUCACCUUCAUUUUUGAUAUGGGCAGUUGAAUUGUUAUUAAUGUUCUUCAUAUUGUAGUUGUAUACUUCGUAACUGCGGCAUAGCUUUUGUUCAAUAACGAUACUAGAAUUGUGGCUCUAAG
rnacentral:lncRNA from 1 species